rnacentral:tRNA from 1 species
GCCUGGGUGGCUCAGUCGGUUGAGCGCCUGACUUCAACUCUUGAUCUCACGGUCUGUGAGUUCGAGCCCUGCCUCGAGCU